UACGGGGGGAGCAAGCGUUGUUCGGAUUUACUGGGCGUAAAGGGCGCGUAGGCGGCCAGCACAAGUCAGUUGUGAAAUCUCCGAGCUUAACUCGGAAAGGUCAACUGAUACUGUGCGGCUAGAGUGCGGAAGGGGCAACUGGAAUUCUCGGUGUAGCGGUGAAAUGCGCAGAUAUCAGGAGGAACACCGAUGGCGAAGGCGGUUCUCUGGGAAUGUCCUGACGCUGAGGAGCGAAAGUGUGGGGAGCGAACAGG
rnacentral:rRNA from 1 species